rnacentral:rRNA from 1 species
AGCAGCCGCGGUAAUUCCAGCUCCAAUAGCGUAUAUUAAAGUUGUUGCAGUUAAAAAGCUCGUAGUUGAAUUUCGGGGUUAGUAGGUUGGUCAUGCCUCUGGUAUGUACUGGUCUCACUGAUUCCUCCUUCCUGAUGAACCGUAAUGCCAUUAAUUUGGUGUUGCGGGGAAUUUGGACUGUUACUUUGAAAAAUUAGAGUGUUUAAAGCAAGCUAAUGCUUGAAUACAUUAGCAUGGAAUAAUGAAAUAGGACGUUCGAUCCUAUUUUGUUGGUUUCUAGGAUUGACGUAAUGAUUAAUAGGGAUAGUUGGGGGCAUUAGUAUUCAAUUGUCAGAGGUGAAAUUCUUGGAUUUAUUGAAGACUAACUACUGCGAAAGCAUUUGCCAAGGAUGUUUUCAUUAAUCAAGAACGAAAGUUAGGGGAUCGAAGACGAUCAGAUACCGUCGUAGUCUUAACCAUAAACUAUGCCGACUAGGGAUCGGAUGAUGUUAAUUUUUAAUGACUCAUUCGGCGCCUUAAC